rnacentral:rRNA from 1 species
AAUCAACGCUGGCGGCGUGCCUAACACAUGCAAGUCGAACGAGAAAGGGGGCUUCGGUCCCUGAGUACAGUGGCGCACGGGUGAGUAACACGUGACUUAUCUAACCCUCGAGUGGGGAAUAACUUCGGGAAACCGAGGCUAAUACCGCAUAAUACCCACGGGUCAAAGGAGCAAUUCGCUUGAGGAGGAGGUCGCGGCCGAUUAGUUAGUUGGCGGGGUAAUGGCCCACCAAGACAGUGAUCGGUAUCCGGCCUGAGAGGGCGCACGGACACACUGGAACUGAAACACGGUCCAGACUCCUACGGGAGGCAGCAGUGGGGAAUUUUGCGCAAUGGGGGAAACCCUGACGCAGCAACGCCGCGUGGAGGAUGAAGUCUCUUGGGACGUAAACUCCUUUCGAUCGGGACGAUUAUGACGGUACCGGAAGAAGAAGCCCCGGCUAACUUCGUG